AUACUUACCUGGACGGGGUCAAUGGGCAUUCAAGAAGGUCCAUGGCCUAGGUCAGUGACGUCCAUUGCACUUGGAAUGGGUGCUGGCUUAAGGUCUCCCCAUGUUGGGAGAGCCUACAUCAUAAUUUGUGAUAGAGGGGGCUGCGCAAGUCGCGGCCCCUG